rnacentral:rRNA from 1 species
AUGGAGAACGUCGCGGCGGUUCCUGACGCUGCUGCCAUUAGCGAGGAAGCGAGGAACGGAAGGAACCGCGGGGCGAGUUUAAGAGUUGGCGGGGGUGGCUUCGCGCGUCCGUUGCUAAAGCAACCUCAGAUGAGAGAAAGAAUGGAAGUUUUAUUGGAGCAAGUAAGAGCAAUAAUAAAAGAGUCAAAUGGAAUACAAAAAGUAAUGGAGCUUAUACUCUCGCUUGAACGACUUGGCUUGGACUACCACUACGAGAAUGAGAUCGGGGAACUACUGGAUGUCGUUUUGAACUCUGAUUAUGAUGAUAAUAAUCUACAGUUGGUUUCACUUCGAUUUUAUCUUUUGCGGAAAAAUAGAUAUGAUGUCUCAUCUGAUGUAUUCAAUAAAUUUCAAGACAAACAAGGAGAUUUCUUUCAAUCAGAUACAAAUAGUUUAUUGAGCUCAUAUAGUGCAGCGCAUAUGAGGACCAAGGGAGAGAAAGUACUUGACAAGGCAAUCUAUUUCACUAAAAAACACCUCCUUGGCACGUUAGAACAUUUGGAAUCACCAUGUGUAGAGGAAGUGUAUUUUGCCCUUCUUACACCUCCUUUUAGAAGGGUUAGGAUAUUAGAAGCAAGAAGCUACAUACCUUGUUAUGAAAAAGAGCCUACACGAAAUGAAGCCAUAUUGGAGCUUGCAAAAUUGAAUUUUAAUAUUCUGCAACUUCUUUUCUGUGAGGAGUUAAAAGAGGUCACCUUGUGGUGGCAGAAACUCAAGGUCGGAUCAAAUUUGAGUUUCGUAAGAGACAGAAUAGUAGAAACUUAUUUUUGGAUAAAUGGAACUAGCUACAAUCACAAAUAUUCUUAUUCCCGUAUUAUAGCUACAAAGAUCACUACUUUCAUGACUAUAAUAGAUGACAUAUUGGACACCUAUGGUAGCACUGAAGAGAGCAUGCAACUUGCAGAAGCAAUUAAUAGGUGGGAUGAAGGUGCAGUAGAUGUGCUUCCAGAAUACAUGAAGGAUAUCUACUUAUAUUUGUUGGAAACAUUUCGUUCUUUUGAGGAGCAUUUAGGACCUGGGAAGAGCUACCGUGUUGUUUAUCUUAAAGAAUCGGCAAGUAUUAUAUUUACCUCAUAA